rnacentral:rRNA from 1 species
AGCGAACGCUGGCGGCGUGGAUAAGACAUGCAAGUCGAACGGGAACUGGCGGGUAGCAAUAUUCGUCAGUUCUAGUGGCGAACGGGUGCGUAACACGUAGCUCACCUACCUCGAAGUGGGGGAUAGUCCCGCGAAAGCGGGGUUAAUACCGCAUGUGGUCGAGAGACUAAAACUGGGGAUCGCAAGACCUGGUGCUUCGAGAUGGGGCUGCGGCCUAUCAGGUAGUUGGCGGGGUAAUGGCCCACCAAGCCUAAGACGGGUAGCUGGUCUGAGAGGACGACCAGCCACACUGGAACUGAGACACGGUCCAGACACCUACGGGAGGCUG